AUUCUGGUUGAUCCUGCCGGAGGUCACUGCUAUCGGGGUUCGAUUAAGCCAUGCGAGUCGAGAGGGUUCGGCCCUCGGCAGACUGCUCAGUAACACGUGGAUAACCUGCCCUAAGGUGGAGGAUAACCCCGGGAAACUGGGGAUAACACUCCAUAGGUUCCGGAGGCUGGAAUGCCCCGGAACCGAAAGCUCCGGCGCCUUAGGAUGGAUCUGCGGCCGAUUAGGUUGUUGUUGGGGUAACGGCCCAACAAGCCUGUAAUCGGUACGGGUUGUGGGAGCAAGAGCCCGGAGAUGGACUCUGAGACACGAGUCCAGGCCCUACGGGGCGCACAGGCGCGAAAACUUUACAAUGCAGGAAACUGUGAUAAGGGAACCCCGAGUGCCCGUACACGCGGCUGUUCANGUGUUUAAAACGCAUCUGGANAAAGGGCCGNCAAGACCGGUGCCANCCGCGNGGAAUACCGGNGGNUCNAGNGGNGACCACUUUUAUUG
rnacentral:rRNA from 1 species